GUACACUCCUACGGGAGGCAGCAGUGGGGAAUAUUGCACAAUGGGCGCAAGCCUGAUGCAGCCAUGCCGCGUGUAUGAAGAAGGCCUUCGGGUUGUAAAGUACUUUCAGCGGGGAGGAAGGCAAUACGGUUAAUAACCGUGUUGAUUGACGUUACCCGCAGAAGUAGCACCGGCUAACUCCGUGCCAGCAGCCGCGGUAAUACGGAGGGUGCAAGCGUUAAUCGGAAUUACUGGGCGUAAAGCGCACGCAGGCGGUCUGUCAAGUCGGAUGUGAAAUCCCCGGGCUCAACCUGGGAACUGCAUUCGAAACUGGCAGGCUUGAGUCUUGUAGAGGGGGGUAGAAUUCCAGGUGUAGCGGUGAAAUGCGUAGAGAUCUGGAGGAAUACCGGUGGCGAAGGCGGCCCCCUGGACAAAGACUGACGCUCAGGUGCGAAAGCGUGGGGAGCAAACAGGAUUAGAUACCCCGGUAGUCCCAUGA
rnacentral:rRNA from 1 species